AGUGAACGCUGGCGGUAGGCCUAACACAUGCAAGUCGAACGGCCGCACAGUAAGAGCUUGCUCUUACGGGUGGCGAGUGGCGGACGGGUGAGGAAUACAUCGGCAUCUACUUUUUCGUGGGGGAUAACGUAGGGAAACUUAUGCUAAUACCGCAUAUGACCUACGGGUGAAAGCAGGAGAUCUUCGGACCUUGCGCGAUUGAAUGAGCCGGUGUCGGAUUAGCUAGUUGGCGGGGUAAAGGCCCACCAAGGCGACGAUACGUAGCUGAUCUGAGAGGAUGAUCAGCCACACUGGAACUGAGACACGGUCCAGACUCCUACGGGAGGCAGCAGUGGGGAAUAUUGGACAAUGGGCGCAAGCCUGAUCCAGCCAUACCGCGUGGGUGAAGAAGGCCUUCGGGUUGUAAAGCCCUUUUGUUGGGAAAGAAAAGCAGCAUGUUAAUACCCCGCUGUUCUGACGGUACCCAAAGAAUAAGCACCGGCUAACUUCGUG
rnacentral:rRNA from 1 species